rnacentral:misc_RNA from 1 species
AAUAAUGCAAUCAGAGUAAUAUUAAUAUAGAUUAUAAAAGAUUAAUGAAAACACGUACAUGUAGAAGUAAAUUUGUGAGUUAACAUUACCAACAAAAUACAUAUUGUGACAAUGUUUGCAAUUGUGAGUAUAAUUGUUUUCAUAAUUUGCUGACGGACGUUUAAAACUGUAUUUAUGAACGAACAACGAGAUCUGAUAUUGUUUUACAUUGUAGUUCAUGAAUUGUUUCAAUAAUCAUGAAAGUGGCAGCAGUAUCAGAUCUCGUUUAACUUGUUCACUGAAUAAGAUUAUGAAUGGAGAACAAAAUUCAUUUUUUUAAUGAAGAAAUUACAAAUAUAUGUAAAAUUUCGAAAAAAAAAGAGUCUGUAAUAUAGCCUCGUAUUUUGUACUAACUCGUAGUUCACUCGCAAGGUUCUCGUAUUGCACUCGCCCCGAUCGCCUGUUUUUUGUAUUGUAUUCGUAUCAAAUCGAACUAUAUUCUCAUUCACUCGUAGGAGACACGGGGAAGAUUCUAAAAACAAUCGCAUGAACUCGUAAAAUACGCGGGGAAGAUCGUAGGAUAUUCGUAGCAUCGUAAGUACUACGAUGUUUCGCGAGUUUCCUGCGAAUGUAGAAGAUUUAAUGCGACUAUGUGCACGAAUGCAGUGCGAGUUUUGCGCAAAAGUCUACGAAUACUUAAAAAUCGUACCGUGGGCACGAUUGUUUUGAACAUGCUCAAAACAAUCGCCGCGUUAGGCGAUUUGCUGAGAUGAAGGAAAAGAGCCUACGACUAUUUCUGCGAUGAACCCCGAAUAAGUGCGAUUAUUAUAUUCGUACACUAUGGUAGCUCAAAAUUGUGACAGUGUGACAGAGGCUAAAGGCUACAAAUCUUAUUUGCCGACGACAAAUGAAAUACUUUAUUCGCCAACUUGCUAGAAUCUUGAAUGACCAAAUCAUGAAUAAGACAAAUUUGUUAAAUUUAAAAAUAAUAAUAAUUAUUUCAAUUCUAUUAACUCUUGUAGAGCGAGUCCUUACACCCUCAUCCACCUCUCGCAAUGGCGUUGCAUUUUAUGCGUACAUGACGACAAGAUUACAUACUCCGAGUACAGAACACGUGUUGGUUUUUGACGUCGUCAAAACUAACAUUGGAAAUGCCUACCACCCUAGUACUGGUGUGUUCAUGGUACCAGAAUCGGGAGUAUACGUUUUCACUUGGACUUUCUGGAUUUGAGAUGGCCGAGACAAUAGCAUUCAGUUGAUGGUUAACAGAGAAGACGUUGGUACAGUUUAUCUUCAAACUAUCAGCGGAGUCGAAAGCGAGGCGACAGGUAUUGUGGUUACUCAUGUUAACGCUGGAGAUGACGUUUUCGUUCGAAAACACUCGGCAUUCCAAAUCGGGACCGGUCAAUAUAUCCAGAGUAAUAUAUAUGGAAGAUCCUCGUUUGCAGGAUGGAAGAUAUUUUGAUGUUGUAUAAUGUAAGAUACAUGACGAAUUGUAGGAAUGAAAAUAAGACAUAAUUCACCGCCUCUAAGACAUUUUCUUUCGUCUCUUCAAUUGUUAACAAUGUUUAAAAAUGAAAUAUCCAUGCACUGUAAAUUCGACUAUGAAAUAUCUCCAAAUUAAUAAAAAUACAUACAAGGCAAUCUUACUUAAACGAAAUAUUCUAUUGUAGACUCGCCAAACAAGAACAAAUUUGUUGUUGUUUGAAUGGACAAUCUUGAUAUCUGUACAACAUAAAAAUUCAUUCUAACGUAAUAAAAUAUAUUUCUAGGACCAAAUGUCUUUUACCAUUAACCCCCCCCCCCC